rnacentral:rRNA from 1 species
CAUGGAGGGUGAGAAUCCCGUACGGUUGACCUUAUGACGCUCUACGAUACGCUCUCUAAGAGUCGAGUUGUUUGGGAUUGCAGCUCAAAAUGGGAGGUAAAUUUCUCCUAAGGCUAAAUACCGGCGAGAGACCGAUAGCGAACAAGUGCCGUGAGGGAAAGAUGAAAAGAACUUUGAAAAGAGAGUUAAAUAGUACGUGAAAUUGUUGAAAGGGAAACGAUUGAAGUCAGUCGUACUGGCGAAAAAUCAACUACUCGAGUGAGUACUUGUGGGCGUGCGUGAGUUUCGGCCUCGCUGUUUGCAUGUUUGUGCGUUUUGGGUGUACUUUUUCGUAUGGUUGGCCAACGUCAGUUUCGAUUACUAUAAAUGACCGGCGGAAUGUAGCUUCGAUUUCGGUUGAAGUGUUAUAGCCUCUGGUAGAUGUGGUGAUUGGGACUGAGGAUUGCAACGAAUAUCCUUUGGGCUAUCCGUCUGAUCUCUGAAAGUUGCUCAGGUGCCGAAAGCGUGCUUACGGUCAUCUAAGUUGACGGUCAAUAGGUUAGAACGAGAUUACAUUCGUUAAGGAUGUUGACGUAAUGG